UAGACAAUAAGGGUCAGGGAUUGUCUGUAGAGAAUUUCACAACACUAAUAAAACCAUCUAAAAUUGGUCUGCUUUUUAUUUCCACCAGUGUUGGAAAUAAAAAUAUAAUGUUAGUGACAAUAUUCCUCCCCAAAUAAUCUCUUGUUGGUCUAAGUUCUAAACAAUGGUGGGUACUGCUGAGUUAUAUAUGAGCACAUUUUUACUUUCUCUCCUUUAGUAACCAUUGUAUUCCACAUGGAAGUUAAUUUGGUUAUUAAUUCACAAGGACUCAGCUACCAAUGUUUGUUCCAAACAGCAGACGAGGAGAGAAUGUUGGGAGCGAUGGCGGAGACAGGGGCAUGGAACUUGGGUGACUUCAAUUCUGUCAUUCUAUGCAACCCUGCAAAAAUAUUUGUAGACUGUCAGAAUGUGCCUCGAACAGGAGAAAUGACCACAGGUGCCCGUCUUCCGUUGCAAGAAGAAAUUUCAGGGGCAGCAUUUGGAAGCCUCAGUCAGUUUCACCAGGAACUGGACAAGUGCCCAAUGGCUCAGAGGAAAGAAAACUUCGGAAAUUAAAAUGAACAAAAAGUAUUCCUCUAUCAAUGAGGAGUGUAGACAUUGACAAAUCUGGCUGAACUGCCUACUAAAUGUGAACAUGCAAGGAAGACUAAUUUUGAUGAAAUCAUUGACAAAUUUGCAGAAUUCUCAGAACCAAAAAGUGUAAUGUUCUCUGCGUUACCAACAUGUAGGUAUAAGUUUUUUCCCUUUUCUCAAAGUAAAAAAAUAAAUAAA